rnacentral:rRNA from 1 species
UCGAGAAUCUUCGGCAAUGGGCGAAAGCCUGACCGAGCGACGCCGCGUGGGGGACGAAGGCCUUCGGGUUGUAAACCCCUGUCGAGAGGGAGGAAGAUGCCGUGCAGAACGGUGUUUGACCGAUCUCUGGAGGAAGCACGGGCUAAGUUCGUGCCAGCAGCCGCGGUAAGACGAACCGUGCUAACGUUAUUCGGAAUCACUGGGCUUAAAGCGCGUGUAGGCGGCCCGGCACGUCAGUCGCUGAAAUCCCCCGGCUCAACCGGGGAACUGGCGUUGAUACGACCGGGCUGGAGGGGGGUAGGGGGGACGGGAACUUACGGUGGAGCGGUGAAAUGCGUUGAGAUCGUAAGGAACGCCCGCGGCGAAAGCGCGUCCCUGGACCCCACCUGACGCUGAGACGCGAAAGCCAGGGGAGCGAACGGGAUUAGAUACCCCCGUAGUCC